AAGAAGUUUUGCAUCUAUGUUCACCAAGGAGAUUGGUAUAUAAUUUCCACUUUGUUUCUGUUGUGUCCUAAUUUGAGGUUUGUUCCACAUCGGGGAAUUUAUAUCUGGUACUGUGAACAUGGUUAAAACCCAUGGUUUUAGAAAUCAUAGGCUGAAGGGGCGAACGUACUGAUUUUUUUUUCUAAAAGGUCAAGUUAUCAAACAGACUUCUAAACAUAUCUGUUUAUAUCUAUGGGUGUGUGCUUUUCUCACACACAGAAGAGCUUCUUAACGCAGUGGGUAUUGGUGAAUCCAGAGAUUCAUUAUUGUUUCAAGCACCGAGAAUGAACGACUUUGAAUGCUCAGCCUUAGAUGGAAUAUCUACACAUCACACACACAAACAUCAGGGAAGGUUUCAGAAGAAGGAGCAGGAAGAAGCGUGUUCAUUUAAAUGUUUUGGGGGCAUGCCCACACCCUGGGUGCCACUGCUGCGGGCUAUCCAGCUGCUGUGGCCCAUGUGUCAGCCAUGACUCAGCUGAGCUCUUCUGGCCUCUCAGCACAUGUGCUGGCUCCCCAGUGUGAUGCUCUGCUCCAGCCUCCUGUAACCCCUGACCCCUGCACAAUGAAGGAGACAAUGCCUUUGCUAACAUCUAAACUGCUGAAAUUAAGA
rnacentral:lncRNA from 1 species